rnacentral:rRNA from 1 species
AGUGAACGCUGGCGGCGUGCCUAAUACAUGCAAGUCGAACGGAGUGGCGCACGGGUGAGUAAUAUAUAGCUAAUCUGCCCCUUGCUGGAGGACAACAGUUAGAAAUGACUGCUAAUACUCCAUAGCAAGGGAUGAGACUAUAUCGUAUCAGCUAGUCGGUGAGGUAACGGCCUACCGAGGCUAUGACGCGUAACUGGUCUGAGAGGAUGAUCCGUAACAUUGGAACUGAGACACGGUCAGGACUCCUACGGGAAGGGACAGUAGGGUGUACUGCGAAAGCGGGGAGAGCCUGACGCAGCAACGGCGCGUGAAGGAUGACACUUUGCGGAGCGUAAACUCCUUUUGUUAGGGAAGCGGUACCUAACGAAUAAGCACCGGCUAACUCCGUGCCAGCAGCCGCGGUAAUUC